GGCAAAAUUCCCACCAAAAAUAUAAUUCACUCCCUCCUACUCUCUCUCUCUCACCUCUCUACUAUGACCUGCCUCUCCGCUCUCACCUCUCCCGUCUCUACUCUAACAUCUCUACUCUGCGUUUUCACAUCUAACUAAAUAUUCGUUCAUGGGUUUUCUACUAAUUGUUACUAAGUUGAACUAUUGCCAUCUAAUUUUAUUAUUUCUACUAAUUGGGUUUAAUGUCUUUGUUUUGCAGGUGAUUAGGGUUUUUCAAUUGGGGCUUUCAAUCUAAGUGUAUAGUAGCUACAGAUCAGCUAUGGAGUCUACCAGCCAAGCCAAGAAGAUUCUCUGUUUGUCAGUAAAAAGAAACUCAAUUUGACUGUAAUUGUUGACAAAGAUGGCUUUACCUCUAAUAAUCAGAUCGAAAGUAGAAAGGCGACUGAGUUCACCAAGACAACCAUAGACAAUGCCAAUUACUCCGAUCAAACAAGAGAAGUUGAGGAAUAAUGCUGAAAAUAUAUCAGGUCAAUCUGUACAGAGGCUACCUGUUCAGUCUGGACAACGAUUACUAGCUCAAUCCGGACAUUGGUUACCUGCUCAAUGUGGACGUCAAAUACAAGCUCAAUCUUAGCAUCAUCUGCAAUCUGGACGUGUUUCCGCUCAAUCUGGAGAUUAUUAUACAUUUGUUCUUGCUAUUUCUUUAUAUUCUUUAAAUAUCUUAUAAUGUACGGUCCUUGGAAACAUUAUAUUUGUGGUGUUUAUACUGGAAAUAAUUAAAAUUCUAUUGGUAAAGUGCUGGGAAUUUGGUAAUAAAAUGGUUGGCAAAGUGUUGGUAACA